rnacentral:lncRNA from 1 species
AGAAGGAGAAGUUGAAGAAGAAAUUAGAGCAAGAGAGAAAAAUUUUCAAAAUGCUAUUGGUUUUUUUUGUAUUGUCAUGGGCAUUAACAGUGAUGUUUUGUAUUUUAUUUGUGUUGAAGAUAAAUUGUAAUUAGAUAGGUUGAUGUUGUCUUGUGGAUUUACUUUGAAGUUUUAAGUUCAAUAUAAUGUGGAAGUUAAGUUUUAUUCUGCCCAGUUUAAUUAUGCCCUCAGUUUUAAGUUGAAUAUAAUGUUU